UCGAUGGACCAUGAAGAUCUUAUCAAGAAGAUACUUAAUGUUCUUGAUGACAACUAUAAGGCUAUAGUUGACGUUAUUCAGUGUUGUGACACACCCAUAUCUUUUGAUGAACUUUAUGAGAAACUCAUCGGGAACCAUC